AAGUCGUAACAAGGUUUCCGUAGGUGAACCUGCGGAAGGAUCAUUAAAAAAAUUAUAUAUCCAUACCCAACCUUGUGUGCACUCACUGACCGUUCGCUUUGGCAGGAGGGAGUUUCUUGGGAUGAAACGAAUGAUAUGUUUGUUUGAUUCCCAAGAAGCGGGGGGGAGAAAGAGAAAGAGAAAUCUUCUCUAUCUCUCUCGGCCUGCCAGAGUUUUUAAAAUAAUCAACCUUUUUUUAAUUCUUUUAUUUUUGGACUGAAACCUCAAUCUCGAUUCUCUGCAAUCGAUCGAAUCAAAUACAACUUUCAACAACGGAUCUCUUGGCUCUC
rnacentral:misc_RNA from 1 species